AUAAUAUGUUGCAAUUUAUUGAAUGUUUACUAUAUACAUAUAUGUUUAUAUAUAUAUGUUUAUAUAUAUGACAUGUUUAUAUAUAUGAGACAAUGGAUAAAAAUAGGUUUUGGCAAUAAAGUAGGGUCCUUACAUUAGUUAUAAAUAUAUACAGUUAGGAUCCUAUCUUAAAACACACUAAAUAUGUGCAGUAAGCCAGAAUUUAUAGGGUUUGUUACCCUUUAGAGAUCCAUUAGAUGUUUGCAGGAUAGGUCAUUCACUGUGCUCAAGAUUUUUC
rnacentral:lncRNA from 10 species